GACGAACGCUGGCGGCGUGCUUAACACAUGCAAGUCGAACGGAAAGGCCCUGCUUUUGGGGGGUGCUCGAGUGGCGAACGGGUGAGUAACACGUGAGUAACCUGCCCUUGACUUUGGGAUAACUUCAGGAAACUGGGGCUAAUACCGGAUAGGAGCUCCUGCUGCAUGGUGGGGGUUGGAAAGUUUCGGCGGUUGGGGAUGGACUCGCGGCUUAUCAGCUUGUUGGUGGGGUAGUGGCUUACCAAGGCUUUGACGGGUAGCCGGCCUGAGAGGGUGACCGGCCACAUUGGGACUGAGAUACGGCCCAGACUCCUACGGGAGGCAGCAGUGGGGAAUAUUGCACAAUGGGCGGAAGCCUGAUGCAGCAACGCCGCGUGCGGGAUGACGGCCUUCGGGCUGUAAACCGCUUUCGCCUGUGACGAAGCGUGAGUGACGGUAAUGGGUAAAGAAGCACCGGCUAACUACGUG
rnacentral:rRNA from 1 species